AGGUGGUUUGUCGCGUCGUCUGUGAAAUCCGGGGCUUAACUCCGGGCGUGCAGGCGAUACGGGCAUAACUUGAGUACUGUAGGGGUAACUGGAAUUCCUGGUGUAGCGGUGAAAUGCGCAGAUAUUAGGAGGAACACCGAUGGCGAAGGCAGGUUACUGGGCAGUUACUGACGCUGAGGAGCGAAAGCAUGGGUAGCGAACAGGAUUAGAUACCCUGGUAGUCCAUGCCGUAAACGGUGGGCGCUAGGUGUGAGGGUCUUUUCACGACUUUCGUGCCGUAGCUAACGCAUUAAGCGCCCCGCCUGGGGAGUACGGCCGCAAGGCUAAAACUCAAAGGAAUUGACGGGGGCCCGCACAAGCGGCGGAGCAUGUGGAUUAAUUCGAUGCAACGCGAAGAACCUUACCUGGGCUUGACAUACACUGGAUCGGGCUAGAGAUAGUCUUUCCCUUUGUGGCUGGUGUACAGGUGGUGCAUGGUUGUCGUCAGCUCGUGUCGUGAGAUGUUGGGUUAAGUCCCGCAACGAGCGCAACCCUUGUCUUAUGUUGCCCAGCAUUUGGUUGGGGACUCAUGAGAGACUGCCGGGGUCAACUCGGAGGAAGGUGGGGAUGACGUCAAAUCACCAUGCCCCUUAUGUCCAGGGCUUCACACAUGCUACAAUGGUCGGUACAACGCGCAGCGACACUGUGAGGUGGAGCGAAUCGCUGAAAGCCGGCCUUAGUUCGGAUUGGGGUCUGCAACUCGACCCCAUGAAGUCGG
rnacentral:rRNA from 1 species